UGGUUAGCUCAGCUGGUAGAGCGCUCCACCUGUAAUGGAGAGGUCCCGGGGUUCGAUACCCGAUCCAA
rnacentral:tRNA from 1 species